CCUUACUUGUGGAUUUUGGUGAAGCUUGGAGAUAGCUUGAUUUCGAGACUCGGACAUUUUCAGUCGAUCUAGCAGGUUGUGCCGCAGCCGAGGGAGUUCCGUGCUGCCAGGGAUUAGCUUUGAGAGCCACAGGAUUCGGCUGCUACUCCUUCAGCGAAUUAGGAUCGAGGCAAGGGCGUCGCGAGUUAGAGCCCUACCCGACGAGCAGAGCUAGAG